CCUACGGGUGGCAGCAGUGAGGAAUAUUGGUCAAUGGACGAAAGCCUGAACCAGCCAAGUAGCGUGAAGGAUGACUGCCCUAUGGGUUGUAAACCUCUUUUAUAAAGGAAUAAAACGAGGCACGUGUGCCUUUUUGCAUGUACUUUAUGAAUAAGGAUCGGCUAACUCCGUGCCAGCAGCCGCGGUAAUACGGAGGAUCCGAGCGUUAUCCGGAUUUAUUGGGUUCAAAGGGUGCGUAGAUGGGUUGUUAAGUCAGGUGUGAAAGUUUGCGGCUCAAACGUAAAAUUGCAAUUGAUACUGGCAGUCUUGAGGACAGUAGAGGUAGGCGGAAUUCGUGGUGUAGCGGUGAAAUGCUUAGAUAUCACGAAGAACCCCGAUUGCGAAGGCAGCUUACUAAACUGUGACUGACAUUGAUGCUCGAAAGUGUGGGUAUCAAACAGGAUUAGAUACCCCUGUAGUC
rnacentral:rRNA from 1 species